GCCCACGCAGUUAGCACAAAACGAACUGUUCAUUCGCCUUUUGCUAUAGAAUACCGUGUGCUUGCUUUUUCAGGUGGUAUACACCUACUUUUGGGAGUCCCUUCUUUUAUUAAAGGCU
rnacentral:snRNA from 1 species